CUUACCAUGCAAGUCGAGCGGUAAGGCCUUUCGGGGUACACGAGCGGCGAACGGGUGAGUAACACGUGGGUGACCUGCCCUCCACUUCGGGAUAAGCCUGGGAAACUGGGUCUAAUACCGGAUAGGACCAUUCCGCGCAUGUGGGGUGGUGGAAAGUUUUUUCGGUGGGGGAUGGGCCCGCGGUCUAUCAGCUUGUUGGUGGGGUGAUGGCCUACCAAGGCGACGACGGAUAGCCGGCCUGAGAGGGUGAUCGGCCACACUGGGACUGAGACACGGCCCAGACUCCUACGGGAGGCAGCAGUGGGGAAUCUUGCGCAAUGGGCGGAAGCCUGACGCAGCAACGCCGCGUGGGGGAUGACGGCCUUCGGGUUGUAAACCUCUUUCGCGAUCGACGAAGGUCCACUUUUUGUGGGUUGACGGUAGGUCGAGAAGAAGCACCGGCCAACUACGUGCCAGCAGCCGCGGUAAUACGUAGGGUGCGAGCGUUGUCCGGAAUUAUUGGGCGUAAAGAGCUCGUAGGCGGUGUGUCGCGUCGGCCGUGAAAACCUGGGGCUCAACUCUGGGCGUGCGGUCGAUACGGGCAUCACUUGAGUUCGGCAGGGGAGACUGGAAUUCCUGGUGUAGCGGUGAAAUGCGCAGAUAUCAGGAGGAACACCGGUGGCGAAGGCGGGUCUCUGGGCCGAUACUGACGCUGAGGAGCGAAAGCAUGGGUAGCGAACAGGAUUAGAUACCCUGGUAGUCCAUGCCGUAAACGUUGGGCGCUAAGGUGUGGGGUCCAUUCCACGGGUUCCGUGCCGCAGCUAACGCAU
rnacentral:rRNA from 1 species